UCUCCUUUUUCUCUCUCUCCCUCCCAUUAUUAUUAUCAUGAAAGCCAAUUAAAAAAAUAAAAAAUCUGACUCAUUCCUCUUCUUCCUCUCUCUUACGAUACCAGCCUCCAAUUCUCUCUUCAAACAACCCAACCACCGCCACCAGCUUACCGGCGAUUCCUUGGCCGCCAUUCUCACCGAUUGACGAAAAUGAAACCAUUUUCUUUUUCCACUCGACGAGAGCUUUCCGUUGGUCCAAUUAGUUUCACGAAAGGAGCAACUUUUCUGUUGACCCUUUUUCUUCCUCCGCCGCAGUAAGUUGGGAAGAACCACCGUGUAGGAGCUCCGAUGGCCGCCAUUAACUUCACCUUCUCCAAGGUAUGUAGGUAUGAUUCUGAAGGUAGUGAUGCUUCAAUGUCUGCUUUGAGAUCUGAUUCAAUUCCAUUGUCCAAGAAUGGAAUCAAAUCAGUGUACUCUGAUUGUGUUCAAGUUUCUUACAUAACCUCAAACCUUCAUGGGCUGAGAAGGAAUUCAUUGAGCAGCCUGCAUUCUUUAUAUUUAGAGGAUAUACAUAUGUUCAUUAUUCUCUUUAGGGUAAGGAGUCCUGUGAAAUGAACACUAAAGAGAAGAUAAAAGCUUCUCGUAAGAAGCUAGACGAUGGGAUUGUACUGUGGAAAGUUGGGAAGUAUGAAAGAGCUUCUAAAAGAUUUAAACAGGCUGUAAAGAUCAUAGAGGAUGGUACUUCCUUCAGUGAUGAUGAGAAGAAAGAUGUCAGGGACUUGAAGUCAUCUUGCGGUGUACACAUUUCAAAAUGCGACGCGAUGUUGCUUUAUGAUCAACAACUUAUGAAAUCGUAUGAAGAGCACCGGAGAUUUUAAGGGCUUCUAGAAAGAGUGGAUUGAUGUAGAACCAAGGGUUUAGUGACUAUGACAGAGUGCAUUUUGGAAGUGUCCAGCCUAGUCUUAUGCCUUCUUUAGACACUACAUCAAGUUUCACCGGAUGGAACAGCUUGUCGCAUGAAGGGCUCAAUGUGGAUUGGCAAAGAGCACCAACAGUCUCAAAUUCUCACAUAGUGAAGAAGAUGUUGCGCUUGGAUAUUCCUCAUGAUAACCAUCCAACUGGAAGAUAUUUGAAACAUUAUAUAAAUGCAUUGUCCAUUAUAAGAAAUCAUAGAAGAGCUACUCAGACAUGUGGUAUUUCUAUUUUUCAACUCUUGUAAUUUUAGUAAUAUGAAUAACAGUUUUUUUCACUUUCUUUUUCCCUUGA